rnacentral:lncRNA from 1 species
CACCAUGUUAGCCAGGCUGGUCUCGAACUCCUGACCUCAGGUGAUCACCUGCCUCGGCCUCCCAAAGUGCUGGGAUUACAGGCAUGAGCCAUCGCAUCGGGCCGAGAAUGUUAGAUCUCUUAACUUUGGUGUCGUGGAAGCAGCAUGGGCUUUAGAGUCAGGCAGAUCUGGGUUCAAAUCCUGUCUGGCAGUCUAGUGGUGUAGCUUCUUUCUGGUAAGAAACCUACCUUUCCUGAUGCUCAGUUUCCUCAUCUGUAAAAUGGGAACAAAAAUAACCUGUUUUGUGGAGUUGUUCUGUGACGGUGGUUCUCAUGUGUGGUAGCUGGGGCAGCACCAGCAGCAGUGGCGGCCUCAGCAUCACCUGGGAACUUGUCAGAAAUGCAAAUUCUCGGGCUUCACCCUAGACCUCCUGAAUCAGGAAUUCUGGGAAUGACUAGGCAAACUAUUUUCAUGAGCCCUGUAGGUGAUUCUGAAGCUUGUUCAAGUUUGAGAGUCACUGACCUAUGGAUUAAGGUGAGUGAGUGCACCUGUGACAGAACAAGUGCUCACUGCUCUUGGUUUCCUUAUUAAAAGAGGGAGGGAGUUGAAAUGGGGUAGCUCUCAGAUUGCCUCUCUCCUGUUUUAUUUUGUGAUUCUCCCUUUUAGCCAUGGAAUUGGGGGAAGGAAAGAGGAACCAUUUGUCUAUCACAAACUGUCCCAGAGUCUUCCAGAUUUCACGUUUGGAAUGAAAGUCUCAGGAAGGCACGGACUUUGUUUUCUUCCUCAUGUAUGGCAUAGAGCAGCGGUCCCCAACCCCUGGGCCACAGAUCAGUAUCGUUCUGUGGCCUGUUAGGAACCAGGCUGCACAGCAGGAAGUGAGCGGCGGGCCAGCAAGCUAAGCUUCAUCUGUUUUUACAGCCGCUUCCCAUUGCUUCCGUUACUGCCUGAGCCCCACCUCCUGUUAGAUCAGCGGUGGCAUUAGAUUCUCAUAGGAGUGCGAACCCUAUUGUGAACUGCCCACGCGAGGGAUGUAGGUUGUCCGCUGCUUAUGAGAAUCCAGCACCUGCCGAUCUGUCACUGUUCCCCGUCACCCUCAGAUGGGACCGUCUAGUUGUAGGAAAACAAGCUCAGGGCUCCCACUGAUUCUACAUUUUGGUGAGUUGUAUAAUUGUUAUGUAUUGCAAUGUAAUAAUAAUAGAAAUAAAGUGUACGAUAAAUGCAA